rnacentral:rRNA from 1 species
GAUGAACGCUGGCGGCGUGCUUAACACAUGCAAGUCGAACGAAGCACUUAUGAUUGAGAUUUCGGUUGAUUUUAUAAGUGACUUAGUGGCGGACGGGUGAGUAACGCGUGGGUAACCUGCCUCGUACAGGGGGAUAACAGUUAGAAAUGACUGCUAAUACCGCAUAACCCGCUAAGGUCGCAUGACCUGGACGGAAAAGAUUUAUCGGUGAUGGAUGGGGAUGCGUCUGAUUAGCUUGUUGGCGGGGUAACGGCCCACCAAGGCGACGAUCAGUAGGGGUUCUGAGAGGAAGGUCCCCCACAUUGGAACUGAGACACGGUCCAA